GAUAACGGCGUCGAGCGGCGGACGGGUGAGUAAUGCCUAGGAAAUUGCCCUGAUGUGGGGGAUAACCAUUGGAAACGAUGGCUAAUACCGCAUGAUGCCUACGGGCCAAAGAGGGGGACCUUCGGGCCUCUCGCGUCAGGAUAUGCCUAGGUGGGAUUAGCUAGUUGGUGAGGUAAGGGCUCACCAAGGCGACGAUCCCUAGCUGGUCUGAGAGGAUGAUCAGCCACACUGGAACUGAGACACGGUCCAGACUCCUACGGGAGGCAGCAGUGGGGAAUAUUGCACAAUGGGCGCAAGCCUGAUGCAGCCAUGCCGCGUGUGUGAAGAAGGCCUUCGGGUUGUAAAGCACUUUCAGUCGUGAGGAAGGUAGUGUAGUUAAUAGCUGCAUUAUUUGACGUUAGCGACAGAAGAAGCACCGGCUAACUCCGUGCCAGCAGCCGCGGUAAUACGGAGGGUGCGAGCGUUAAUCGGAAUUACUGGGCGUAAAGCGCAUGCAGGUGGUUUGUUAAGUCAGAUGUGAAAGCCCGGGGCUCAACCUCGGAAUAGCAUUUGAAACUGGCAGACUAGAGUACUGUAGAGGGGGGUAGAAUUUCAGGUGUAGCGGUGAAAUGCGUAGAGAUCUGAAGGAAUACCGGUGGCGAAGGCGGCCCCCUGGACAGAUACUGACACUCAGAUGCGAAAGCGUGGGGAGCAAACAGGAUUAGAUACCCUGGUAGUCCACGCCGUAAACGAUGUCUACUUGGAGGUUGUGGCCUUGAGCCGUGGCUUUCGGAGCUAACGCGUUAAGUAGACCGCCUGGGGAGUACGGUCGCAAGAUUAAAACUCAAAUGAAUUGACGGGGGCCCGCACAAGCGGUGGAGCAUGUGGUUUAAUUCGAUGCAACGCGAAGAACCUUACCUACUCUUGACAUCCAGAGAACUUUCCAGAGAUGGAUUGGUGCCUUCGGGAACUCUGAGACAGGUGCUGCAUGGCUGUCGUCAGCUCGUGUUGUGAAAUGUUGGGUUAAGUCCCGCAACGAGCGCAACCCUUAUCCUUGUUUGCCAGCGAGUAAUGUCGGGAACUCCAGGGAGACUGCCGGUGAUAAACCGGAGGAAGGUGGGGACGACGUCAAGUCAUCAUGGCCCUUACGAGUAGGGCUACACACGUGCUACAAUGGCGCAUACAGAGGGCGGCCAACUUGCGAAAGUGAGCGAAUCCCAAAAAGUGCGUCGUAGUCCGGAUUGGAGUCUGCAACUCGACUCCAUGAAGUCGGAAUCGCUAGUAAUCGUGGAUCAGAAUGCCACGGUGAAUACGUUCCCGGGCCUUGUACACACCGCCCGUCACACCAUGGGAGUGGGCUGCAAAAGAAGUAGGUAG
rnacentral:rRNA from 1 species